AUGAUGGCCUUGCUCAUCCCAGGUACAAAAAGUCCUGGAAAGGAUUUUGAUUUAUUCAUGGAGCCUCUAGUGGAGGAACUUCAACAGCUAUGGAGGGGUAUUUUCACUCGAGACCUAUAUAGCAUCCCACCAGCUGAUUUCUUUCUGCGUGCUGUUAUAAUUUGGUGCAUCCAUGAUUAUCCGGCUUUGGGCACUAUGUCAGGGCGACGACACAUGGUUACAGUGCAUGUGUUCGCUGUGACAGGAAUCCGCUGUCAUACGCAAUACUUAGCAAGUUUUGUUACAUUGGACACCGCCGUUUCCUUGCCAAGGACAAGCCGCCUCCUAGAAAAUACCGAAGACAUGUGUUCAAUGCAAAGCAUGAAAACCGUGAUGCGCCAAAGAGGCUCACCGCCGAUGAGUUGCAAGUGGAAUUAG
rnacentral:rRNA from 1 species